UACGGGGGGAGCAAGCGUUGUUCGGAAUUACUGGGCGUAAAGGGCGCGUAGGCGGCAAGGCAAGUCAGGUGUGAAAGCCCCGAGCUUAACUCGGGAAUUGCAUCUGAAACUGCUGUGCUUGAGUUCUGGAGGGGGUAGUGGAAUUCCCAGUGUAGCGGUGAAAUGCGUAGAUAUUGGGAGGAACACCUGCGGCGAAGGCGGCUACCUGGACAGAAACUGGACGCUGAGGC
rnacentral:rRNA from 1 species